AACGAACGCUGGCGGCAUGCUUAACACAUGCAAGUCGAACGAGAACUUCGGGUCUAGUGGCGCACGGGUGCGUAACGCGUGGGAACCUGCCCUUAGGUUCGGUAUAACUCCCUGAAAGGGGUGCUAAUACCGGAUAAUGUCUUCGGACCAAGGAUUUAUCGCCGUUGGAUGGGCCCGCGUUGGAUUAGCUAGUUGGUAGGGUAAAAGCCUACCAAGGCGAUGUUCCAUAGCUGGUCUGGGAGGAUGAUCAGGCACACUGGGACUGAGACACGGCCCAGACUGCUACGGGAGGCAGGAGUGGAGAAUAUUGGACAAUGGGCGAAGGCCUGAUCCAGCAAUGCCGCGUGAGAGAUGAAUGCCGUUGGGUUGUAAAGCUCUUUUACCCGGGAUGAUAAUGACAGUACCGGGAGAAUAAGCUCCGGCUAACUCCGUG
rnacentral:rRNA from 1 species